GUUAAAUACACCAGCCACUGCAAAGAUCAGCCGCUGGUCCCAGACCACACAUGAGGUUGCGGUAGCGCAUGGAUAAAGGCAUUAGAUUCGCUGGAGACUCGCUGGUCACUAGAGAGCUGGAAGGCUUUUACUGGUUCAAUUCUGCUGUAGCUGCCACUGACUGCUCAUCAAUGUGAGAAGCUUUCCAGAUCAGUUAAAAUCAGGUAUUCCCCAAACGCCUUCCUUUCCCCCUCGGAGUGUAUGAGGAAUAAAACAGAUUCCAACGAUCUUACCCCAGCUAACUCUCCCCAUUACAUUGGACCAACUUUGCUUUCCCAUUCUGCCUCUCAAGGCUCAUCUGAGCAUUUCAUAUACUUUAAUUGGCCCUUAGUUGAAAAGCUUUUGAUGGAUUCACAGUGCAGAAUCUGGUGGGGCACUAUCCUUGAUGUUUUCCACAGUGUCCUAGGUAAAUCUAAAAGUGAAAACUCCUGAGAACCCAGGGAAUUGUCUUUAAGAAUAGAAUGAGUUCACUUUAAUAAUCAAAUUUCUUUUCUAUUUUGAUCCUCAUAAUUGUGAAAGUCAUAUUGAGAGCUGCACUGUCUGGCUCCCUCCAUUUUGUGCAAUUAUUAAAUGUUUAUUAUAAUUUCCACAGUCUUAUCUCCCACGUAUCUAGCUAUUUUAUGCAUUUAAGAAUAGCCUCACUAAUUUCUUUCCUAAGAAUGGCUGAUAUCCCUCAUGGACUAAUGGCCAUAUGUGAAAAUCAAAUGCCCAUCAAAACUAGCAUUCUUUAAGCUUUCUGAUCUCUAUGCCUUCCUUUCUGACUUAUUGUUAAAAUCGGCAAUGUCCUUAUCUCACUUUAAUCUCAUCAAUGAAAACAUUUUGCUCUCUGUAUUCCAGUUAUCAAGAUUCUAUGCUUCUUUCAAUAGUGUCCUCAAAUAGUGACAUCGUCAUCAUUUAUUCACUUUACAUCCCAAUCACAGCCCCCUCCCUCCUCCUGUCCCAGGGCCACCCUUACAAAUCCUUCCCACCAUUGCCCCUCCCCUUCCUCAGAGAAGGGGAGUACUUUCUCCACAGCAUUUUCCUAACCCACCUUAUGUUGAUGCAACUUGUAGAAGAUUCACCUUGAAGCCACAGGAAACAUCGAUGAGAUGGGCUGACAGUUGCUACACUAACUGCUACUGUGACUUAGGCACCAUCUUCAUUGUGGCAACUUGUAGAGAAAUUAAGAUCCUCUCUCUCUCUCUCUCUCUCUCUCUCUCUCUCUCUCUCUCUCUCUCUCUCUCUCUCUCCCUACUUCUCAUGAGGAGACUUUUGCCUGAAGUUCUCCCUCCCACUAUUACUGGCCAGAGGUGGUUGCAUAACUGCUCACAAAUUACGCAUAUGAGAAAAUAACAACAUUCCCAAUAUUGAUUAAGAUAAUCAGCUUAAACUCCCCAAAGCUGGACCUGACAUUGUUCCCAUGAAGCCUAUUAUCAUGUGGUGAAUGGUGGGAUCUAAAAUAAAGUCUGAGGUCUCUUAGAACGGGAAAUAGAGAGGAAUUUUAGUUUGACUAAUCAAUGUUUAUUCUAAUUAUUAUCUCUCUCCCAUACCGCCUAUAGUGUUUUGGAAAUAUUUCCAGUUGAGCAGCAUUCUUGUGGUAUUAUGUUUCUACAUAUUUACCUCUCGCCUAUCUCCCUCUAGCUUCAAGAUGACCAAAUGGCCCACUCAAUAGCUAUAAGGACGAGAGCUAUACUGGACACAUCAGACAAAAAAAUAUCUUUAGUUACGUUCCUUGUUUCCCCCUGGAUAGUGUGGAUAUAAAAACUGUGUCUCGAGCUUGUUUCCAUAGCAGAUACUACUGUGAAGCUUCACACUCGCCUUGUGUCCUUGGCCCCUGUUAAUUCUGCGCACUGGCCCACACCUGUGAAGAUGAUGCGAGCCAAGGCCCUGUAAGUCCUCCGAGUACGGAUGAAUCCUCCAUUCAUUCUGCUUUCCACUCGGAGAAUGACGGACAGAGGGCAUGAACACAAUCAGAGGACAAGUAGACGGGUGUUUCCAGGAGCCAAUGAAAUAUUUUAUUUAUUUCAAUGGGAAAUCAAGCCAGCUGGCUCUUACAUGAAGCUAUCCCCUGGAAUUCACAAAUGCCACUUUCUUCUCCAUCGUGGAAGAAAAGAUACGUUGUAGUUUGGAACAAAGGUGACCCAAUAUUAUCUGGAUCGUGACAAGCCAUGAGGAAAGGGUGGCCAAAAACAAGAGCCCACCAUCUUGGUUGAGAAGGUUGAUGCGAAGCCAAACCCACUGGCUAGAGGGCGGAGACACUCCAGAUGAAGUGAUACCAGCAAGUGAUAGGAGGCACACUGAAGGGGGAAAACCUCCCCCAAACAGGCAUGGCUCAAUGUCCAUGUGCCUGACCAUGGGAAGACAGAGGUGAGUCCUCACUGACUGUGCAGUCCCACCGUAGAAAAUUUAACUGAUAGGGCUUUAAAAGAUAUUUCAUUUCCACCUUUUCCCAAGGCCAGCACAAUUAUGAGCAUAUAAGAGCAUUUUCAUGAAAGACCACAAGUGCAGAAUAACUCCACAGGAAUGUAGCAGUGCAAACAAUUACAGAUGGGCUAGCAUUUUCACUGCAACCUUUGUUUUUAUGGACAAAUACUUUUGUGUUACAACCACCUACACCAAUCAAGAGGAGAGCAUAUUGUGCAGCCCUUUAGUGAGGAGUAACAUUGAGCCUGUAUACCAUGUAGCCUGUAUGAAGAGGACUACAUCUGCAUAAGUAGACUGUGAUAUUCAUUCAUUCAUUCAUUCAUUCAUUCAUGCUGAAAUUACUUAGUAAGUAACAGAAUUCUCAGAACACACCCUACGGUUAAACCACACAGCUCGCUAGAGCUUAAGCCUCUUUCGUUCUUCUUCUUUUCCCCUUGCUUUCACGCCCUGGUUUCUAAUCUUCAUUUUUCAGCAUAGAGCAGAAGCACACAUACUCUGCAAGUAAAUGAUACUGGCAUUCUACUUUUCAUGUGCUAAGCAUAAUCCAAAAAUAUGUGUCAUAUUUAGAAAACCGAGGUUUAGAAUGAUUAAUCUUCUUGCCUAGCUCACAAAGGUCACAUGUUUCCGAACUACCAUUCAAAAGCAGACAGUCUGGCUCCAGAGUCUGUGAUCUUAAUAUCAUCACUUUGUUACAUUAAAUAU
rnacentral:lncRNA from 1 species